rnacentral:rRNA from 1 species
GCGGCAGGCCUAACACAUGCAAGUCGAGCGGAAACGAAGGGGUGCUUGCACCUCUGGCGUCGAGCGGCGGACGGGUGAGUAAUGCUUGGGAAUAUGCCUUAUGGUGGGGGACAACAGUUGGAAACGACUGCUAAUACCGCAUGAUGUCUACGGACCAAAGUGGGGGACCUUCGGGCCUCACGCCAUAAGAUUAGCCCAAGUGGGAUAAGCUAGUUGGUGAGGUAAUGGCUCACCAAGGCGACGAUCCCUAGCUGGUUUGAGAGGAUGAUCAGCCACACUGGGACUGAGACACGGCCCAGACUCCUACGGGAGGCAGCAGUGGGGAAUAUUGCACAAUGGGCGCAAGCCUGAUGCAGCCAUGCCGCGUGUGUGAAGAAGGCCUUCGGGUUGUAAAGCACUUUCAGUAAGGAGGAAAGGUUAAGUGUUAAUAGCACUUAGCUGUGACGUUACUUACAGAAGAAGCACCGGCUAACUCCGUGCCAGCAGCCGCGGUAAUACGGAGGGUGCGAGCGUUAAUCGGAAUUACUGCGCGUAUAGCGUACGCAGGCGG